ensembl:lncRNA
CACAAAGUUGCAAUUUAUUUCCCGUCACAGAGUCAUUUGUACUUUAUUUCGCGUCUUCUUGCAUUGCUCGAUUUUGAUGUGCAUGUGAUGCGGUGAGUAAAUAAAUAAGUGUUGAGUGUUUGACAGCCUGUUUGCAUUACUGUCGCGCGCCACACCCUCCAGCACUGGGUGGAGUUUCUCUACUGUCUCAGUCUGAACUCGUGCCAUUUAGGUCAAUGACAACAGAAACUCUACUUGUGCAUUUUAUUCCUGGAUUAAAUUUGCAUUUCUUUCUGGGGCACGGUGUCAAUAACUGCAUCACUGUCCUUAAAGAAAAGCACUUUUAUUAUUUAUUAUCUUACAGUGCAUUUCAUCUCUUAGCUGGACUUCCACAUGUGUCUACAAACAAAGUUAUCAUUAGACAUUCAGUGAUUUAUAAUCAGUUCUUAUGAUGUGUGUGUGUUUUUUUUCUUUUUUCAGACUUGCAAGGCAUCUUCAGAAAGAAGUGCAGUCGUCAAACUCGCACGCUUUCACAGAGGAACAGAAGGUAAGCAUGUUCCCCUUGGGGAUGACUGACAGCUGUCAAUCACUUUUUAAUCUUUAACAUGACAGCAAAUGCAAUUCCAAAUCGGAAACUGAUGUUCAGAUAUUUCCAAUGAUAUUUAUUAUUAAGAUAUUUGUUCUUUUCGCCGUGGACUACUGUCCGGUUCUGUUAUCUCACACAAGUUUUGUUUUAUUAAAAUGCAUUUUCCAGAAAACCCUGGGGAAGUUUGCAACAUGCCUUGAGAUGCGAAGUGCAGCCUUACAGUGCACACAAUCUCAAGAGGAGUUCAAGUUAGAAGACCUGAAAAAACUGGAGCCCAGUAUGUACAUUCAUUUUUUGAUUGAUUAAUUUAAAUGUAUCCUCUCUAAAUUAUCUACUCCAUGCCUUCUGUCAUCUGAUUUAUUUAUUCAAGUAAAAGUAAAAUGUCUUUUAGUCUAAUUGUGAUUGUCUUCUUGCUGUCAAAUCUUUACUGUCUUUUAUAAAGUCAUCAUAAGACUAACCUGAUGAACACUUACCGUCACGUCUAUUCUUCUGUUUCUCCAGUUAUUAAGAACAUUCUGACUUACAACAAAGAUUUCCCUUUUGAUGUC